rnacentral:rRNA from 1 species
CAGCAGCCACGGUAAUGCGUAGGUGGCAAGCAUUGUCCGGAAUUAUUGGGCGUAAAGGGCUCGCAGGCGGUUUCUUAAGUCUGACGUGAAAGCCCCCGGCUCAACCGGGGAGGGUCAUUGGAAACUGGGAAACUUGAGUGCAGAAGAGGAGAGUGGAAUUCCACGUGUAGCGGUGAAAUGCGUAGAGAUGUGGAGGAACACCAGUGGCGAAGGCGACUCUCUGGUCUGUAACUGACGCUGAGGAGCGAAAGCGUGGGGAGCGAACAGGAUUAGAUACCCGAGUAGUCCCUGUCUCUUAUAA